rnacentral:rRNA from 1 species
GGGGAAUUUUGGACAAUGGGGGCAACCCUGAUCCAGCCAUGCCGCGUGAGUGAAGAAGGCCUUCGGGUUGUAAAGCUCUUUCGGCCGGGAAGAAAUCGUGCAGGCUAAUACCCUGUAUGGAUGACGGUACCGGAAUAAGAAGCACCGGCUAACUACGUGCCAGCAGCCGCGGUAAUACGUAGGGUGCGAGCGUUAAUCGGAAUUACUGGGCGUAAAGCGUGCGCAGGCGGUUAUAUAAGACAGAUGUGAAAUCCCCGGGCUCAACCUGGGAACUGCAUUUGUGACUGUAUAGCUAGAGUACGGCAGAGGGGGAUGGAAUUCCGCGUGUAGCAGUGAAAUGCGUAGAUAUGCGGAGGAACACCGAUGGCGAAGGCAAUCCCCUGGGCCUGUACUGACGCUCAUGCACGAAAGCGUGGGGAGCAAACA